GACGAACGCUGGCGGCGUGCCUAAUACAUGCAAGUCGAGCGGAUGGAAGGAAGCUUGCUUCCUAAAGUCAGCGGCGGACGGGUGAGUAACGCGUGGGCAACCUGCCCCUAAGAUCGGGAUAACUUCGGGAAACCGGAGCUAAUACCGGAUAUGAUUAUGUCUCACAUGAGACAUAAUGGAAAGACGGUUUCGGCUGUCACUUAGGGAUGGGCCCGCGGCGCAUUAGCUAGUUGGUGAGGUAACGGCUCACCAAGGCGACGAUGCGUAGCCGACCUGGGAGGGUGAUCGGCCACACUGGGACUGAGCCACGGCCCAGACUCCGACGGGAGGCAGCAGUAGGGAAUCUUCCGCAAUGGACGAAAGUCUGACGGAGCAACGCCGCGUGAGUGAAGAAGGUUUUCGGAUCGUAAAACUCUGUUGUUAGGGAAGAACAAGUACCAUAGUAACUGAUGGUACCUUGACGGUACCUAACCAGAAAGCCACGGCUAACUACGUGCCAGCAGCCGCCGUAAUAC
rnacentral:rRNA from 1 species